ACGUCGAUGGUGAAGUGGUUAUCAUGCUUGCCUUCCAUCUUCUUGAGUAAGCAAGCGGCACGGGUUCGAUUCCCGUUCGACGUA